CCGACGUUUGUCUUUGAUGAUAGUUCUGCUUCGAUGAAGAAUGGGACUUCUUUUUGUUCAUCUUCGUUCUAUUUCAUAGCACCUUGUAAGAUCUCUUCGUACUCAGACGCAUUAUAAUGCGUAACCCGUGCACCCACUUUCGAGACCAUAACCUCGAAAUUUUCCAGCCACAGCGAAAACACCAAGGCGGAGAAGAUUUCUGAGAGAUCAUGGAGGGCUCUGUCGCACUAUAUUGAUUUUCAUUCCUAUCAGGGUGGUGCUUUUUCCACUGGCUGUUGACUUCUUCUUGUACUCGCCGCGUUUCGUUGUGGCGGUAACAUAUCUCUCUCCUCCGAUGAUGUUUUUAUUUCUGCUAUGCAUUGUUCAAAGAGAACAAUUGCACUUUAACUUUGAAACUGCUAGCUGUUUUUGGUGAUCUGGCAGCGGUUUUUGCAGGCGUGGUUGAUACUGCUGUUUGUGGAACGGCAACUGCUGGUGUGGGGGACGAUGCUGGAACGUAUUCCUCGGUAGGUUUCCGCGUGCUCAUAACUUUCUUAGAACCGAAGGACCUUCUCGGCGGCGUAGAUGCGGAUCCUAUUGAACCCUGCAAUAUACCCGAUACUUAGUUUUAUCGGAUGUACGGAAAGAAGUAACUGAUUUAAAUGAGAUAGAAUGAAAGAAUAAUAAUAUACCCUUAUCCUCUUUGCAUCUCGAAUUAUUUCUUUUUCAGGAUCGUCUAAGCCAAUAGGUUCUUUGAAGAAUGUAAAAUUAUCAAUGGUUAAUUCUCUUGAAUGAACUACAAUAAAAAAAAAAUAAAAUAAAGAAAGGAAACAAAAAAA